CAUUUUGUCUUGCUAACACUGCUCAUCACAGGUUAAUCAGUGGUGUGCCAUUUACAGCGCUGGACCCUUUACGUCAAUUCUCUUUAUUCCUUAAAACAACGCAAUGGUUGUCCCCAUUGACAGAUGAGGAAACUGAGACUGCAUGUGAAGCAAAUUGCUCAUGGUCACACACCUUUGGGAUACAAAUCCCAAUCCUCUGACUCCAGAAAGAAGGCCUGUCUUCUUGCAUUAACUAUCAGAAAUGAGUAACAAAUCCACGCUCGUUCAGUCUUUUGAGCCACUGCUUAAGCUGUUUGCCUUUAGGUGACAAAUACCUCCACCAUCUCUGCUUACCCUUCCAGUUCUGGAAUAUUCCUCAAAGCCCUGGAGCCACCACAGAGGACCCAGAUUAUACCUACAAACAUCCAUGUCCCCCUUUCUAGCCAUGGCAUGGAACAGACUCUCUGUCACUUGUUCCAGCUUCUGAUCAUUUGAAAAAAUGGAUUGGAGUUUUUCCUUCUCUCUCUGCUCUUGGACACACUUCAACAGAUCUUCUGUUAGGAGUGAAUUUGCCAAAAAGAGCCAACAGGAAGGUUCUAGAAUCGAAAGGCAACCAGAUAAACUACCUCAAGGAAAAAUACAAGCUGCUUGUGUAAACCCUGGUAGACAGCCUGUUGGCCAGGAUUCUCCAUAGGCAACCAGUUUUACAGGCCAGAAAUGGGCAGAACUUGAUGUUCCAGGCGCCAGAGCAAGGCAAGUGAUGUAUUUAACAACCAGCCUGGGCCACGGCAGGAAGACAGACAGACGUAAAGUAAAGCUGAAUCCAAAGUACACUCUGCAGGUUGGUCCCGUGACUAAACGGAGACGGGAGUCGGAGGAACCUUGUGUACAGCGCAUUCUUGGGCCACAGUGCCCAGGCUGUGUGGUGUCUGAAGUGACUCAGACCUUCAAAUGGGCCUCGUAGCACCCAUCUUACAUCCUAGUCCUUCCAAGCUGGUCCCCCACUGGUGGCAGAGGCUGAUGGGGUGGAAUGUGUUCAUCUAGGAUUCCAGUAAAGCAUCAAGCACUUUUUUCCUGCGGUCAUUAGGAGAGAGGACGAUUAUGCCAGGGAAGAGCAUCUCGGGCCCAGCCUAAGGCCUUGGCAGCUCAAUAUUAGGGCUGAUGUGGCUUUUGCCUCUCCAAGAAACAUAUUUCUGGGUUUGGCAACAGAAUGCAACCAAACACCUGGAUCCCAUUUCCUUCCCUUAUCUCUGGCUGAUUCUACACUCAGACUUCAAAACUCUCCUUUCCUUCUCACUGAUAGGCAAAUCUUUGGAUCACAGGCCCUGCUUUUUUGACUUUGGAGAACCAUCGGUCUGGCAAAAGGACUGAAGACAGAAUGGCCAUGGCUUGAGAGGUUUUUCAUAGCCCAUAGAGGGGAGCCUGGCACCUGUCUAAUCGCCCAUAGCCUCUGGGAAGUGAAAAUGGGCAGCUGCUAAAGAAUGCUAAUUUCAUUUAUGCGUAGUGCCAUCUUGCUUAACAAAGGUGUUUUGAACAAAACUGGCUUCUGCUCAUCAUGCUGGGCUAAGUGCUCAUCUCCUCUGUGCUGAGUCCUUGUCACCUUGCACCCACAGGUCUCUGUGUCAGCCUAGAAGACUCCCUGCGCCCCAUCAUUGGGAAAGGAGGGAGGUACCACCCUGGUCUUAGAAUCACAGUGGGGGAAACGACCAGAGAGAGUCAUCAUCUGGUUUUGUUAACAAGGAACUAUUUACAAAAACUGAGAAACCACACUCCAAGAUGGAAAACCAAGAUUUGGGCAAAUUAAAGCAUGGAAUAUCAAGCCUCAUUUUCAGAUUAGGAAACCGAGGCCUGGAAAGUUUAAGCAGCUUGCCGGCAGUUGACUGUCCACGCGUCCAGGAUCAGAUGAGUCCUGGCUCUGGCGGGCCCCUUGGAGAAGGUGAAGCCUUCCAUGGCCAUCAGUCCCUGAUGCUGGAUAUCAGACACCACAUCAGGAAACCAAGCCUCAGAGACGCGGAGUUAGGCUUCAGAUCCGGCAAGAGCAGACUGCGUCUGGGCAUCACACAUUCCGGCCUGAACCAGAAGGACGUGGAAACGCACACAAAACGUUGACCAUGACAUUCAGGAACUAAGUGACGUUGUUAAACGCUCCUUGGAACCCCUAGGGAAAAGCCAAGGUUCUUGAAGAAAUGUAUAAACCACGGAGAGACCCUUGCCAGAUGCCAGGUCUGUAAAGUUGGAAAUCUUGUCCAGAAAUAAAUAUAGAAACGAAG
ensembl:lncRNA